AGUCAUGAUGCUUGUCCGUGUUCCUCCUAAACUUGUUGGGGAAAAGAGUGCAUUUGUUGAUGUAGGCGAAAGUGCAAACUUGUGUGAAAGCUAGAACAACCGUAGAAGAUAUGCUUUCACACGCAGUCAUGUGUGCGAUCUUGAUGACAUGUAACGGAAUAUUAUGCCUGGAGGUCGAAAAUAAUCGUUCUCAAAAAUCUGCCGAGCAACGGAGCUACGUGCCUCCAAUACGUGUCCCAAAGCCAUCUGACACUAUUGACUUCGCUGGAACAAUUUUCGACCAAUUUCCAUUUUGCGACCACAAAACUCACCAUGCAAUCUAUUACGUAGCCCAUAUGUGAGUCUCAAGAAUCUUCUAAUAAAAUUUGACAGUUGUGUAUGACAAAAUAAAGGCCAGGCCAAGACUUUUCGUGUUCUCGGAAAUGAAAGCUUUCA